AUGCCUUAUUUUCGCAAUCGGCGAAACUGUCUGAGCUCUGUCUUCUCAAGCUUUGUAUCUCCGAUAAGCUCAGGUUCACUGAGUCAGUCGGUGACUCAGAGCCCGACCAUUGUAAACGUGAAUGAAUGUCAGACUGCAACCAUCACAUGCAGUUUUCAACGUGGUUCAGCUGGUGAAUAUCGCUUUCACACGGGAAAAUUCUUCAGCCGGGCCAACUCAGCGGCCGAACGGAAAGAAGUCACUCGCGGGGGCAGAUUUGCUAUUUUGAUUAAGAAAACAGAAAUGCAGUUUUCGUUGGAAAUACGAGAUCCACAAGUGAAAGACAGCGGCACCUAUUACUGUCAAGCUGUGUACAAAUGGCGUGCAGCACAAUGA